AUUCUUUAUUAGCAACAGGAUGAUAUGUUGUAUUUUAUGAGAAAAGUAUAGAUGGCUUAAGAAGGAACAUGUUCCAGCCUGGUGUGCAGUUGCCACAUGUCUGGAGUGGCUGCCGUGUGACAGCGUGGGCCCUGAUUUUACGGACGGCAUUCAGACAGAAAGUGUGUGUCCUGAGCUGAGAGCUUUACCACGGAGCGACUCUGCGCUUCCUACAGGAGGCUGCACAGGCCACAGAGGUACCGGAGGUGACUUGGGGUGGAACGUGGUCCAUCUCGUUCAGCUGCCAUGUCUGUGCACUUGAUGGCUCUGGGCUGUCUCGUGGGUGGGCACCUCCCACCCAAUGCUGAGCAGGUACAGAAGCAUGGCGGCUGCUGCUACCACUCCCUAGACCCAAGCAGGCUGUCUUCCUCCCAGCCUCUGCCACCGAAUCACUCUGUUCCUCUGGGUAGUCUUUUGAGCACAGACCUGGCAGCUGCUUCCCUGAGUGUGAGCUGGGGCUGCUGUGUGCCUCAGCGGUGAGACACCUGGGCUGUCAUCACACACAGCUGGCAAUGACUGCUAUGUCAAACUCAUGGAGGUGUGUGGAGUACAUGAGAUAAUCCAGGCUUUCCCACAUUUGGGGCAUUUGUACUUUGCCCCUGACUUGUGUACCAUCUGUUUUAUUAUUUAGUUGAUCUCUUUCUUUAAGUUGACUCCAUUUUAUUAAACUUUAGCCUUACUCUAAGCAAGAAUAUCUGUGGAUUCUCCAGGAUAACAUGCUGGUUAUGUACAUAUUUAUAACACAUAUUAGAAUGAGAAUGUUAGCUUCAAAUUGUUAAUCUUAAAUUGAGAAAAUGAUCAUCAUGGACUGCUUGACACCACCUCACCUAUGGAAAGUGACCCAGUGGGGCACUUUGAUGGACCCUGAGCUAAUCUGAAUAUUCAGGCAGUAGCUGGCUUUCAGUAAAUGCUCUCUGUGUUGGCUCCUUCAGUCCUGGCCUAGGCAGCGCAGUGUACUCCCUGAGUGCGUGCUACUCAUUUU
rnacentral:lncRNA from 1 species